rnacentral:rRNA from 1 species
CUUAGGGUGAAGAUAGUACAGGACAGUGGCGGAUGGGUGAGUAACGCGUAAGAAACCUGCCUUUCACACCGGGAUAGCAGCUGGAAACGGCUAUUAAUACCGGAUGACACUUUUUCCCCGCAUGAGGAAGAGGUUAAAGAAUUUCGGUGAAAGAUGGUCUUGCGUCUGAUUAGCUAGUUGGUGGGGUAACGGCCUACCAAGGCGACGAUCAGUAGCCGGCCUGAGAGGGUGUACGGCCACAUUGGGACUGAGACACGGCCCAAACUCCUACGGGAGGCAGCAGUGGGGAAUUUUGCACAAUGGAGGAAACUCUGAUGCAGCGACGCCGCGUGAACGAAGAAGGUCUUCGGAUUGUAAAGUUCUGUCCUGGGUGAAGAUAAUGACGGUAACUCAGGAGGAAGCCCCGGCUAACUACGUGCCAGCAGCCGCGGUAAUACGUAGGGGGCGAGCGUUGUUCGGAAUUAUUGGGCGUAAAGGGUACGUAGGCGGUUUGUUAAGUUUGGCGUUAAAUCACGGGGCUCAACCCCGUUCAGCGUUGAAAACUGGCAAACUUGAGUAGUAGAGGGGACAGUGGAAUUCCUAGUGUAGCGGUGAAAUGCGUAGAGAUUAGGAAGAAUACCGGUGGCGAAGGCGACUGUCUGGAUACAUACUGACGCUCAGGUACGAAAGCGUGGGGAGCAAACAGGAGUACGCACGCAAGUGUGAAACUCAAAGGAAUUGACGGGGACCCGCACAAGUAGCGGAGCAUGUGGUUUAAUUCGAAGCAACGCGAAGAACCUUACCAGGGCUUGACAUAACAGUGACGGGUUAAGAGAUUAACCGUUCCCUUCGGGGACACUGCUACAGGUGGUGCAUGGUUGUCGUCAGCUCGUGUCGUGAGAUGUUGGGUUAAGUCCCGCAACGAGCGCAACCCUUGUCGUUAGUUGCCAGCAUUAAGUUGGGGACUCUAGCGAGACUGCCGGUGAUAAACCGGAGGAAGGUGGGGAUGACGUCAAAUCAUCAUGCCCUUUAUGUCCUGGGCUACACACGUGCUACAAUGGCCGAAAACAGCGUGAAGCAACCUCGUGAGAGCAAGCGAACCACGAAAAGUCGGUCUCAGUUCGGACUGUAGGCUGCAAUUCGCCUACACGAAGUCGGAGUUACUAGUAAUCGCGAAUCAGCAUGUCGCGGUGAAUGCGUUCCCGGGUCUUGUACACACCGCCCGUCACACCAUGGAAGUUGGUAAUACCCGAAGCCGCUGAGCGAACCUAUGACGCAGGCGUCGAAGGUAGGAUCAAUGACUGGGGUGAAGUCGUAACAAGGUAGCCGUAGGAGAACCUGCGGCUG